CUUGAUCGAACCCAGCCACAACGGCUGAUCGGCCGGGCGAGCCUGCCCGUAAGUCGCUAAAAGCGCUUGCGCCUC
rfam:Mycobacterium marinum M, complete genome.